CCUUGAGAACCCAGUGAGGUACCCAACCUGGCCCCCAACAAGCUGUACAAUGUAGUGAAAAACACCCAGGAGCAGAAAUCCCACCAAGCUAACCCUCUGAGUGGGUUCAUAGACCCUGUGUUCAGCACACAAAAACUGGCAAAGGCCUCAGCAGAGAAAAAAGUGUUUGCCUGUGAAGCUCCACUGAUGAUCACCACAGUGGCAGUGCCAAGCUGGAUACAGUUGGCUACUUAUGUGUUAACUACAAAGUCAUCUAAAUAUUGCUCUGAGCUACUCAACAUCCAGAAGAGGUUCUUCAGAUCUGCUCUCAGCCAUGCAGGUGCAGAAGGGAGCUAACUAUUACCAUCUGGUCUCUGGAACUAAGUUUGCAGAGGGAGCCAGAAAACAGACACCUGUUUGGCAUACCAUCUCACAAUAAAUCAUUGCCAAAU